CUGGUGGUGGUGGGGGUGGUGGUGGUGGUGGUGGGGUGGUGGUGGGGGGUGGUGGUGGUGAGGGGACGGGGGGGCUGGCUGCUGUAUCCACCCACCGGCUGGAUGGACAGGACUGGACGCAGCCUAUUGUCCUCUUCCUCCUCCUCCUCCUCCUCCUCCUCAGUGCUGCUCUUAGUUAUCGCACGAGUCCAGCUGUUACAUUCAUGCCGCAGUGCCCACGGGCUGAUGGGCACGGCGUGUCAGUGUAGCCCCUCUGUAGUCCGCUGCUGCGCUGGUGGUACCGACUCACUCAUCUUCUGCUCUGGUCUGAGAGAGGAGCAGGAGGGAGAGACCUACGGAAGAGAGGCAGAGCAAAGAGAGAGAGGUAGAGUUAGAGAGAGAGGGAGCAACAGAAGAGAGAGGCAGAGCGGAGAGAGAGAGGUAGAUUUAGAGAGAGAGGGAGCAACAGAAGAGAGAGGCAGAGCGGAGAGAGAGA
ensembl:lncRNA